AAACCAACAGGGAUUGCCUUAGUAACGGCGAGUGAAGCGGCAAAAGCUCAAAUUUGAAAGCCUCGGCAUUGUAAUUUCAAGACCCUUAGCUCCAAUACGUUCACAAGUCCAUUGGAAAAUGGCGCCACAGAGGGUGACAGCCCCGUAGAACAAAAAUAGCUAAGCGCCAAAGAGUCGAGUUGUUUGGGAAUGCAGCUCUAACUGGUGGUAAAUUCCAUCAAAAGCUAAAUACCGGCGAGAGACCGAUAGCGAACAAGUACAGUGAUGGAAAGAUGAAAAGCACUUUGAAAAGAGAGUGAAACAGUACGUGAAAUUGUUGGAAGGGAAGGGCUUGCAAGCAGACACGGUUCGUCCGGGCCAGCAUCAGUUGCAGGGGCGCCACAAAACGCAAAGAACGUAAGCUUCGGUGGUUAUAGCUUUGCGCAAUGGCGCCUCCCGCGACUGAGGCCUGCAUUUCUUAGGAUGCUGGCGUAAUGGUUGCAAGUCGC
rnacentral:rRNA from 1 species